UAAGGGGCUAUGGGGUGGUUAUGGGGUGUGUAUGGGGUGGCUAUGGGGUGAAUAUGGGGGGUAUGUGCUCAGGGAGGAGCUAUGGGGUGGGUAUGGGGUGAAUAUGGGGUGGGUAUGGGGUGAAUAUGGGGUGGGUAUGGGGUCAGGGAGGGGCUGUGGGGUAUGGGGUGGUUAUGGGGUGGCUAUGGGGGUAGGGAAGGGCUAUAGGGUGGGUAUGGGGUGGUUAUGGGGUGGUUAUGGGGUGGCUAUGGGGUCGGGAAGGGGCUGUGGGGUGGGUAUAGGGUCACAGGCUGUGGGGUGGCUAUGGGGUGGCUAUGGGUUGGGGAUGGGGUGGUUAUGGGGUGAACAUGGGGUGGCUAUGGGGGCAGGGAGGGGCUAUGGGGUGGGUAUGGGGUGAAUAUGGGGUGGGUAUAGGGUCAGGGAGGGGCCGUGGGGUGGCUAUGGGGUUGGUAUGGGGUGGGUCUUGCUGUGGGUCUCUAUGUGUCUCUAUGGGUUCCUAUGGGUCUCUAUGUCUCUCUGUGUGUCUCUAUGGGUCUCUGUGUCUUGCUAUAGGUCCUUAUAUCUUGCUAUGGGUCUCUAUGGGUCGCUAUGGGUCUCUAUGGGUCUCUAUUGGUCUCUAUGUGUGUCUAUGGGUUGCUAUGGGUCGCUGUGGGUUUUUCUAUGGGUCAAUGUCUCUCUAUGGGUCGCUGUGUCUCCUUAUGUAUCUCAGUGUCUCUCUAUGUGUCUCUAUGUGUCCCUAUGUGUCUCUAUGGGUCUCAAUGUGUCCCUAUGGGUCUCACUGUGUCCCUAUGUCUCUCUAUGGGUCUCUAUGGGUCUCAAUGUCUCUCUAUGGGUCUCACUGUGUCCCUAUGUGUCUCUAUGUGUCCCUAUGGGUCUCACUGUGUCCCUAUGUCUCUCUAUGGGUCUCACUGUGUCCCUAUGUGUCCCUAUGGGUCGCUAUGGGUCCCAGUCCCCCCGCAGUCCGUGUCCAUCUCGUUGUCCCCCCGCUCCCCCCGUCCCGGUUCGUUGUUGGAACUGACCUGCAGCGCCGGCAGCGCCCGACCAGCCCCCACCCUGCAAUGGGACAUCGACGGGACCACGUGGGUACAGCCCCACAGCGCCCCAUAGAGACCCAUAUACCCCCAUACAGCCCCAUAGCGCCCCAUAGAGACACGUACAGCCCCAUAUAACCCCAUACAGCCCCAUAGAGACCCAUAGAGCCCCAUAUAACCCCAUAGAGCCCCAUAGAGACCCAUACAGCCCCAUAGUGCCCCAUAUAGCCCCAUAUAACCCCAUACAGCCCCACAGCACCCCAUAGCAACCCACAGAGCCCCAUAGAGACACGUACAGCCCCAUAUAACCCCAUACAGCCCCAUAGCGCCCCAUAGAGACACAUACAGCCCCAUAUAACCCCAUACAGCCCCAUAGAGACACAUAGAGCCCCAUAUAACCCCAUACAGCCCCAUAGAGAUACAUACAGCACCAUAUAACCCCAUACAGCCCCAUAGUGCCCCAUAAAGACCCAUAUAGCCCCAUAUAACCCCAUACAGCCCUAUAGUGGCCCAUAUAGCCCCAUAUAGCCCCAUAUAACCCCAUACAGCCCUAUAGUGCCCCAUAGAGACACAUACAGCCCCAUAUAACCCCAUACAGCCCUAUAGUGCCCCAUAGAGACACAUACAGCCCCAUAUAACCCCAUACAGCCCCAUAGUGCCCCAUAGAGACCCAUAUAGCCCCAUAUAACCCCAUAUAGCCCAAUAGCGCCCCAUAGAGACCCAUACAGCCCCACAGCACCUCAUAGCGACCCACAGCGCUCCAUAGAGACACAUACAGCCCCAUAGCGCCCCAUAGAGACACAUACAGCCCCAUAUAACCCCAUACAGCCCCAUAGCAUCCCAUUGGGCCCAUAGCAUCCCAUAGCGCCCCAUAGCAUUCCCCCACUGUGCCCCAUAGCGCCCCAUAGUAUCCUAUUGUGCCCCAUAGCGCCCCAUAGAGCCCCAUUGUGCCCAAUAGAGCCCCAUAGAGCCCCAUAGAGCCCCAUUGCGCCCCAUAGAGCCCCAUAGAACCCCAUAGAGCACCAUAGGGCCCAUUGUGCCCCAUAGAGCCCCAUUGUGCCCCAUAGAGCCCCAUUGCGCCCCAUAGAGCCCCAUUG
ensembl:lncRNA